AGCUUUGCGCAGUGGCAGUAUCGUAGCCAAUGAGGUUUAUCCGAGGCGCGAUUAUUGCUAAUUGAAAAAAAAAAAUUAAGGAAGAGACAUGUACAAAAAUUUGGAAGUAACAAGGUUA
rnacentral:snRNA from 1 species